CCUACGGGAGGCAGCAGUGGGGAAUUUUGGACAAUGGGCGCAAGCCUGAUCCAGCAAUGCCGCGUGAGUGAAGAAGGCCUUCGGGUUGUAAAGCUCUUUUGUCAGGGAAGAAACGGUGGGGGCUAAUAUCCCCUGCUAAUGACGGUACCUGAAGAAUAAGCACCGGCUAACUACGUGCCAGCAGCCGCGGUAAUACGUAGGGUGCAAGCGUUAAUCGGAAUUACUGGGCGUAAAGCGUGCGCAGGCGGUUUUGUAAGUUUGUCGUGAAAUCCCCGGGCUCAACCUGGGAAUGGCGAUGAAGACUGCAAGGCUAGAAUCUGGCAGAGGGGGGUAGAAUUCCACGUGUAGCAGUGAAAUGCGUAGAGAUGUGGAGGAACACCGAUGGCGAAGGCAGCCCCCUGGGUCAAGAUUGACGCUCAUGCACGAAAGCGUGGGGAGCAAACAGGAUUAGAUACCCUGGUAGUCCACGCCCUAAACGAUGUCUACUAGUUGUCGGGUUUUAAUUAACUUGGUAACGCAGCUAACGCGUGAAGUAGACCGCCUGGGGAGUACGGUCGCAAGAUUAAAAACUCAAAGGAAUUGACGG
rnacentral:rRNA from 1 species